rnacentral:rRNA from 1 species
UACAGAGGUCUCAAGCGUUGUUCGGAUUCAUUGGGCGUAAAGGGUGCGUAGGUGGCGCCGUAAGUCAGGUGUGAAAUUUCGGAGCUUAACUCCGAAACUGCAUUUGAUACUGCGGUGCUUGAGGACUGGAGAGGAGGCUGGAAUUUACGGUGUAGCAGUGAAAUGCGUAGAGAUCGUAAGGAAGACCAGUGGCGAAGGCGGGUCUCUGGGCAGUUCCUGACACUGAGGCACGAAGGCCAGGGGAGCAAACGGG